UCGGGAAUUUUGGGCAAUGGGGGAAACCCUGACCCAGCAACGCCGCGUGAAGGAUGAAGUAUUUCGGUAUGUAAACUUCGUAAGAAUAGGAAGAAUAAAUGACGGUACUAUUUGUAAGGUCCGGCUAACUACGUGCCAGCAGCCGCGGUAAUACGUAGGGACCAAGCGUUGUUCGGAUUUACUGGGCGUAAAGGGCGCGUAGGCGGUGUGUCAAGUCAGUUGUGAAAUCUCCGAGCUUAACUCGGAACGGUCAACUGAUACUGUCACACUAGAGUACAGAAGGGGCAAUCGGAAUUCUUGGUGUAGCGGUGAAAUGCGUAGAUAUCAAGAGGAACACCUGAGGCGAAGGCGGGUUGCUGGGCUGAUACUGACGCUGAGGCGCGAAAGCUAGGGUAGCAAACGGGAUUAGAUACCCCCGUAGUCCCUGAGCGGGCUGGCAAGGCGCAU
rnacentral:rRNA from 1 species